rnacentral:rRNA from 1 species
CCUACGGGAGGCAGCAGUGAGGAAUAUUGGACAAUGGACGCAAGUCUGAACCAGCCAUGCCGCGUGCAGGAAGACGGCUCUCUGAGUUGUAAACUGCUUUUGUACGAGGGUAAACGCAGAUACGUGUCUCUGUCUGAAAGUAUCGUACGAAUAAGGCUCGGCUAACUCCGUGCCAGCAGCCGCGGUAAUACGGAGGAUUCAAGCGUUAUCCGGAUUUAUUGGGUUGAAAGGGUGCGUAGGCGGUCGGAUAAGUUAGAGGUGAAAUCCCGGGGCUCAACUGCGGAAUUGAUUCUGAUACUGUGCGGCUAGAGAGUAGUUGCGGUAGGCGGAAUGUAUGGUGUAGCGGUGAAAUGCCUAGAGAUCAGACAGAACACCGAUUGCGAAGGCAGCUUACCAAGCUACUUCUGACGUUGAGGCACGAAAGCGUGGGGAGCAAACAGGAUUAGAUACCCCAGUAGUC